UAGAGUCCAGCCUGCCCAGUGACAUAGUUUAACGGCCGCGGUACCCUAACCGUGCGAAGGUAGCAUAAUCACUUGUUCCUUAAAUAGGGACUCGUAUCAACGGCAUCACGAGGGCUGUACUGUCUCCUUUCUCCAAUCAGUGAAACUGAUCUCCCCGUGAAGAAGCGGGGAUAAGCCUAUAAGACGAGAAGACCCCAUGGAGCUUUAAACCCAUCACGCACCUCUACGCACUAAAAACAAUAAAGCCUAAGAGGCUUGUGUGCUGGUUUUAGGUUGGGGUGACCAAGGAGUAAAAUCAAACCUCCACGACAGACGGACUAAUAUCCUUAUCCACGAACCACAAUUCUAAGAGCCAAUAAAUUGUUGUCUAAUGACCCAAUUACUUGAUCAACGAACCAAGUUACCCUGGGGAUAACAGCGCAAUCUACUUCAAGAGCCCCUAUCGACAAGUAGGUUUACGACCUCGAUGUUGGAUCAGGGUGUCCUAGUGGUGCAACCGCUGCUAAAGGUUCGUUUGUUCAACGAUUAAAACCCUACGUGAUCUGAUUUCCAAAACCGGAA
rnacentral:rRNA from 1 species